GGCUUUGAAAUCAGUCAGACCUCAAUUUCGAUUCUAAUUCCUAAAUUUACUGUCUGUUUUGCUUUAAAAUGUUACUAAAACUCUGAGUGUUUCCUCAUCUAUGAAUGGCCACGUGGAUUCUCCCAGCCAGGAAAGGAGGAUGAAGACGUUGCCAGAUGGGAAAAUAACCCAAGUAAAGACCUGGAAGAACAAAGCUGUUUGGACAGCUAGGGAACCCCAAUUUACAGCAAGAUGUCCCUCAUGCCAGCAUCUUUUCCUUUACUCUGUCAUCAUCAUCAUGGUAAAAUGUAAAGAAAAGAAACAAUAUAUUCUGAGCACCGUGGGUGAGAAGAUAUUUAAAGUCUAUUCUUGUUCUGUUGCAAGCAGAAUUGAAUAUUUUGGAAGGAUAUUAUUGAUUGCUCCCAGAAUCUCCAGGGAAGGUUGAUGAAAGAUUGAGAGAGAAUGUUCAAAAUCAAUCUGCACAACAGAUCUGUCUGUGGAAGACACCACUGUGCCCCCAAUGUGCCCAGCACUGGUGUUGGACCUUGACCCAGGACCACUGCUAGUCCCAGCAAUACUAGCUUCCUGAAGUUCCUACUGCCUCAGAGUGAAUUCUUAACAAAGUCAGUGACCGGGGAUAUUCCACAUCAGUGGCAAAAGAGGCUGGGAAAACAAGUGUCUAGUAUUUUCAACUACUAUUGUUGACACAACAUGCGGCCCAAGAUUUCCAGAUCUCCUUUGCUCUGAAAACCCAGGGAUGAGAAUACUUCCUCACAAGACCCCACCUCCGGCUGCAGGCAAGACCAGCCACCCCAUGACCUUCAAUCACUGUGUCCUGUGACUUCAGAAACAAAUUCCGUCAUGUCUCCAACACCAGCUCUCCUGUAUCACCAUGAGGUGUCCAAGUUUCCCACAUCACCCAGUUUCACGCAGGAAUGAAGGAGCAUGUCUAUAACCAACUUCUGGGAAGCAAAUAAGCAGAGAGAGAAGAAAGAUCAGAGGCCUUGAUGGUCUAGGAAAUGAAUACGUAGUAUCUCAACAAUAUAUUGU
ensembl:lncRNA